rnacentral:rRNA from 1 species
AACGUAGGUGGCGAGCGUUAUCCGGAUUUACUGGGCGUAAAGGGUGCGUAGGCGGUCGGGUAAGUCUGAUGUGAAAUCUCACAGCUUAACUGUGAAACUGCAUUGGAUACUAUCCGGCUCGAGGAAUGGAGGGGAGACUGGAGUACUUGGUGUAGCAGUGAAAUGCGUAGAUAUCAAGUGGAACACCAGUGGCGAAGGCGAGUCCCUGGUCCGCUUCUGACGCUGAGGCGCGAAAGCGUGGGUAGCAAACAGG